rnacentral:rRNA from 1 species
AGAGUUUGAUCAUGGCUCAGAGCGAACGCUGGCGGCGUGCUUAACACAUGCAAGUCGAGUGCGCGGUUGUAGCAAUACAACUGGCGCACGGCGCACGGGUGCGUAACACGUGGGUAAUCUGCCCUCUGAUGGGGAAUAACUCGCCGAAAGGCGAGCUAAUACCGCAUAACAUUCCUUGGACUCCGGUUCGAGGAUUCAAAGGCGUAAGUCGUCGGAGGUGGGGCCCGCGCACGAUUAGCUAGUUGGUAGGGUAAAGGCCUACCAAGGCUAUGAUCGUUAGCUGGUCUGAGAGGAUGGCCAGCCACACUGGAACUGAGACACGGUCCAGACUCCUACGGGAGGCAGCAGUGGGGAAUCUUGCACAAUGGGCGAAAGCCUGAUGCAGCGACGCCGCGUGGGGGAUGAAGCUUCUCGGAGUGUAAACCCCUUUCGACCGGGACGAAUACCUCGCAAGAGGGGUGACGGUACCGGUAUAAGAAGCCCCGGCUAACUACGUGCCAGCAGCCGCGGUAAGACGUAGGGGGCCAGCGUUGCUCGGAAUUACUGGGUGUAAAGGGUUCGUAGGCGGUGUGGCAAGUCGGGAGUGAAAUCUCUGGGCUCAACUCAGGGGCUGCUUCCGAAACUGCCGUGCUAGAGUGUGGGAGAGGCGCGUGGAAUUGCAGGUGUAGCGGUGAAAUGCGUAGAUAUCUGCAGGAACACCCGUGGCGAAAGCGGCGCGCUGGACCACUACUGACGCUGAGGAACGAAAGCUAGGGGAGCAAACAGGAUUAGAUACCCUAGUAGUCC